GAUGAACGCUGGCGGCGUGCUUAACACAUGCAAGUCGAACGGAACUACUCCAAUGAGAGUCUUCGGAAAGGAUUUGGUUUAGUUUAGUGGCGGACGGGUGAGUAACGCGUGGGUAACCUGCCCUAUACAGGGGGAUAACAGUUGGAAACGACUGUUAAUACCGCAUAAGCGCACAGGAGCGCAUGCUCCGGUGUGAAAAACUCCGGUGGUAUAGGAUGGACCCGCGUCUGAUUAGCUGGUUGGCGGGGUAACGGCCCAGCAAGGCGACGAUCAGUAGCCGGCCUGAGAGGGUGAACGGCCACAUUGGGACUGAGACACGGCCCAAACUCCGACGGGAGGCAGCAGUGGGGAAUAUUGCACAAUGGGGGAAACCCUGAUGCAGCGACGCCGCGUGAGCGAAGAAGUAUCUCGGUAUGUAAAGCUCUAUCAGCAGGGAAGAAAAUGACGGUACCUGACUAAGAAGCCCCGGCUAACUACGUG
rnacentral:rRNA from 1 species